AAUGAACGCUGGCGGCGCGCCUAAUACAUGCAAGUCGAGCGAGAAGACGUAGCAAUACGUUUGUAAAGCGGCGAACGGGUGAGGAAUACAUGGGUAACCUACCCUCGAGUGGGGAAUAACUAGCCGAAAGGUUAGCUAAUACCGCGUACGCUCCUUGGACUUCGGUUCAGGGAGGAAAGCGAUACCGUGGGUAUCGCGCUCUUGGUUGGGCUCAUGUCCUAUCAGCUUGUUGGUGAGGAACGGCUCACCAAGGCUUCGACGGGUAGCUGGUCUGAGAGGACGACCAGCCACACUGGGACUGAGACACGGCCCAGACUCCUACGGGAGGCAGCAGUGGGGAAUAUUGGACAAUGGGCGCAAGCCUGAUCCAGCGAUGCCGCGUGUGUGAAGAAGGCCUGC
rnacentral:rRNA from 1 species